GUAAGGAAUAUUGCGCAAUGGUCGCAAGACUGACGCAGCAACGCCGCGUGGGUGAUGAAGUUCUAAGGAAUGUAAAGCCCUGUUAGAAGGGACGAACCGUAUGAAGCGCAACUUCAUACCUGACGGUACCUUCAGAGAAAGCCCCGGCUAACUCCGUGCCAGCAGCCGCGGUAAUACGGGGGGGGCAAGCGUUGUCCGGAAUCACUGGGCGUAAAGGGCGUGUAGGUGGGAUGAUAAGUUAGGGGUGAAAACUAGCAGCUUAACUGUUAGCUUGCCUUUAAGACUGUCGUUCUUGAGUUCGGAAAAGGGAAGUGGAAUUCUUGGUGUAGCGGUGAAAUGCGUAGAUAUCAAGAAGAACACCGGUAGCGAAGGCGGCUUCCUGGUCCGAUACUGACACUGAGGCGCGAAAGCGUGGGGAGCAAACAGGAUUAGAAACCCCAGUAGUCC
rnacentral:rRNA from 1 species